GUCUUAGAGUCUCAAGAAGAGGUACAAGGAGAUGAGAAGUGAAUCACUGAAACAAGUGGUUCUGGUUUGUGGAUCAGUAUGGUUUACCCAAAACACGUGUUUGGUGCUUCACUUCUAAACUCCUCGUACUCUUCUUGGGAUUCUAUGAC
rfam:Arabidopsis lyrata subsp. lyrata unplaced genomic scaffold ARALYscaffold_4, whole genome shotgun sequence.